GGCGUGCUUACACAUGCAGUCGAACGAUGAAGCCCAGCUUGCUGGGUGGAUUAGUGGCGAACGGGUGAGUAAUACGUGAGUAACCUGCCUUUAACUCUGGGAUAAGCCUUGGAAACGGGGUCUAAUACCGGAUACGACCAACCCUCGCAUGGGGUGUUGGUGGAAAGGGAUUUUGUACUGGUUUUAGAUGGGCUCACGGCCUAUCAGCUUGUUGGUGAGGUAACGGCUCACCAAGGCGACGACGGGUAGCCGGCCUGAGAGGGUGACCGGCCACACUGGGACUGAGACACGGCCCAGACUCCUACGGGAGGCAGCAGUGGGGAAUAUUGCACAAUGGGCGCAAGCCUGAUGCAGCGACGCCGCGUGAGGGAUGACGGCCUUCGGGUUGUAAACCUCUUUCAGCAGGGGAGAAGCGAAAGUGACGGUACCUGCAGAAGAAGCGCCGGCUAACUACGUGCCAGCAGCCGCGGUAAU
rnacentral:rRNA from 1 species